UGAGCUUGAGAUUGAACCCUCAGACACUAUA
rnacentral:piRNA from 1 species